UACGGGGGGGGCAAGCGUUGUUCGGAAUUACUGGGCGUAAAGGGUUCGUAGGUGGCUUGCUAAGUCAGACGUGAAAUCCCUCAGCUUAACUGGGGAACUGCGUCUGAUACUGGCGAGCUUGAGUGCAGGAGAGGAACGCAGAAUUCCAGGUGUAGCGGUGAAAUGCGUAGAUAUCAGGAGGAACACCGGUGGCGAAGGCGGGUCUCUGGGCCGAUACUGACGCUGAGGAGCGAAAGCGUGGGGAGCGAACAGG
rnacentral:rRNA from 1 species